UGGGGGAUAUUGCACAAUGGGCGAAAGCCUGAUGCAGCGACGCCGCGUGGGGGAUGAAGGCCUUCGGGUUGUAAACUUCUUUUGCUCUGAACAAGGCAUGCCUUUGGGGUGUGUUGAGUGUAGGGGUUGAUUAGCGCCGGCUAACUACGUGCCAGCAGCCGCGGUAAUACGUAGGGCGCGAGCGUUGUCCGGAAUUAUUGGGCGUAAAGGGCUUGUAGGUGGCUGGUUGCGUCUGUCGUGAAAGCUCAUGGCUUAACUGUGGGUUUGCGGUGGGUACGGGCUGGCUUGAGUGCAGUAGGGGGGGCUGGAAUUCCUGGGGUAGCGGUGGAAUGCGCAGAUAUCAGGAGGAAUACCGGUGGCGAAGGGGGGUCUCUGGGCUGUUACUGACGCUGAGGAGCGAAAGCGUGGGGAGCGAACAGG
rnacentral:rRNA from 1 species